rnacentral:rRNA from 1 species
UACGGAGGGUGCGAGCGUUGUCCGGAAUCACUGGGCGUAAAGGGCGCGUAGGCGGCCUGGUAAGUAGGGGGUGAAAUCCUGCGGCUUAACCGCAGGGCUGCCUUCUAAACUGUCAGGCUCGAGCACGGUAGAGGCAGAUGGAAUUCCCGGUGUAGCGGUGGAAUGCGUAGAGAUCGGGAAGAACAUCAGUGGCGAAGGCGGUCUGCUGGGCCGUUGCUGACGCUGAGGCGCGACAGCGUGGAGAGCAAACAGG